GAGGCACAGCCUGACUGAAGACCAGCAGUCAUUCUCCGGCUGUUGGUUUCGAGCAGAGGCCUAGAGCAGGUCUUCCUGUGGUCUGCUGGUUCUUCUGGAACCUUGGCAGAAAAUGGCUAUUUGACUCAGAAGAAACAAAC